CGGCAGGGUCUCGAGAGAGGUGGGUGUGGAGGAGGAAGGAUGUGCUUGUGUACGACGCUGGGUGGGGGCAUCUUUGGCCAUGCGUGUGAGUUUGUCUGCUGUGAUGCUGUGUGUGUGUGCACCAUUGCACUGUGUGUGUGCACCAGAGAGCUGCCUGAGGCCCGAGCCACAGCAGUGGACGCACCUUGGGGAGAAUGACAGACAGGACACUGGCGCAAACCUAACAGGGCAAUGAUUUUUUCUCUACCGUCUGCCAGGCAGGAUUCUCUUAGCACUCUCAUUUAUAAAUUUUUCAGCUUUAAUGUUUUAAUUAUUUAAAAUGCAAAUAGGUUCAAGGAGAAAGCAGCAGAAAAUACAAAUUCCCUCAACAAAUUCCUUGUGCAGGGGCUACAGGGCUGCAGGUGCAGGCGCUGUCCCACCACGAGGGGCUGUGUCCUGAGAGCUGGGGUGCUCCUGAGCUCGGGGGCCAGGUCCUCUCAGAAGGUGAUCGGCUUGGAUGGGACGAGGCAGGUCUGAUGUAGACGACAGAGGACAAGGGCCCUGUAAUAAACACACCUGCAGUUGGGAGACUGAGCAUAUGUGGAAUACACGCCAUGGGGAAAGCCGGCAGCAUCGUGGAGCGUCAGUGCUCAGCAGACCUGGCUGUGCUCCCAUCCAUACUCUCCACAGACCUGUGCACGGCUGACUCGCCACCCACCGCCCUGCACCCCCAGAUGGCCAAACCUCCUCCGGCAGACAGAGCUUCCUCUCCUUUCUCUUUCUCUCUGAGGCAGUGAUUCCACAGGGAAGGGUAACCACCCGGUCCCUCUCCCGUGACGACUCACAGACACCAGUGCCUCAGGUUUGCAUCCCAGUAGAUGAAAAACAACAGCACAGGCUGGACACGGUGGCUCACGCCUGUAAUCCCAGCAGUUUGGAAGGCUCCCGGUAAAUGAAAAACAACAACACAGGCUGGACAUGGUGGCUCACGCCUGUAAUCCCAGCACUUUGGGAGGCUCCCAGUAGAUGAAAAACAACAGCACAGGCUGGACACGGUGGCUCACGCCUGUAAUCCCAGCGGUUUGGGAGGCCGAGGUAGGCGGAUCACCUGAGGUCAGGAGCUCGAGACCAGCCUGGCCGACAUGGUGAAACCCUGUCUCUACUAAAAAUACAAAAUUACUGGGCAUGGUGGGGCAUGCCUGUAAUCCCAGCUACUUGGGAGGCUGAGGCAGGAGAAUCACUUGAACCUGGGAGGUGGAGGCUGCAGUGAGCCGAGAUGGCGCCAUUGCACUCCAGCCUGGGUGACUGAGCAAGACUCUGUCUCAAACAUCAACAACAGCAAAACCAGCACAGCCUCAGGGACCACAGGAAGGGAGAGGCCUGAGGCCUGUCAUUUCAGGAAACACCUGAUCAUUGGCGGUGGGGCCUUGAGCUACACAUGUGAGACUGAAAUGUGGACCUGAGAGGCGUGAGGGUCAGCAGUGUAGGGACUGUCACGGGGCCGGAGACUCCAACAGAUGCCGGCGCAGGGGGUCAGCACCCAGUAGGGGAGCCUCCUGUUGGUGGCCCCUGCUGUUCCUGGCUCUGUGCUCAUCCCACCCUCAGAUGCCCCUGGAGGAGUGAAGGAGCUGGCAGGGUGCACACACUCAGCCAGGCCGUGGUGGGUCCUGCUCCCAUGCUGUAUGCUUCCUUGGCUGUCUGGGAGACUCUGGAGAAGGAAGUGCAUACGGGACUGGCCCCUGAAGAAUGGGGUCUUCAACAAGUAAGGACAGGCGGCUGCAGGCCUCAAGUCCUCCAUCCCUGGUGCCUCCUGACUCUGUCCCAGGGCCCUGGAAGGGCUGGGGACUCCCAGGGCACAGGCAGCAUCCAUGGGCAGAGGCUCUUCUGUCCCCUCUCAUGAGCUUCAGGGACCAUCUUCUCUUGUACACGACAGUGAGAAAAUGCAAAAGCAAAUUGCAGGUGUGUGCAUUUCUUCUGGGGAGGCCUAGACUUGGCUCAAAUUUACAAGUUUGUGAAGAGAGAGAAGAAAGAAAGAGAGAGAGAUGAGAGCCAUGUCUUCUGUUUUCUGUGAGCUCUGUCCAUUACUCUGCAGCCUAAAAGCACCCCCAUUAGGGAGCUUCCCCUCCACGCCUCCCUCUGUGUUAAAGCCAGAGGUUUACCCAGGGCAUUCAGCAGUCCACCCCUAGCAUGGAGAGGAGCGGGCCUACAGGCACCAGCUUCUCCACGCUGUUCCAAGAAAUGGAAAAGAUACGGGAUUUGGAGGCUAAGACCCAGAUUCACAUCCUGACUUCCUGAAUGUGGGAAAUUCAGCAAAUCUCCCGGAGCCAAAGUUCUUCAUUUGUAAAAUGGGCAAAUUUAACCCAGCUUUGAGCAAAGAGAAAGUGAUAGAAAUAGGAAUCCUUGUCACCUGGGAGCGUUCCUGAGGUUGGAUGAAGGGGUUUACCUGUGGGAGGGUGUGAUGGGAGGGAGGGCAGGGCCACUGGCCCCCUUCCCGCAGAGCCCCGGAGCCCUUCUGUCCUGGCCACGUGGCAGCACCCACGGGGGGACACACAUGCGGCUGAUAUACAUUUAACGGUCCAGUGCCUGUUAUAAAAGCUCUUGCACACUAAGAAUGAACUUCUAUGCAUCAUUGGGGUUCCAAGGUAUGCUGGAUAGAAGAAAGAUGCAAAAUACCAAAAAUGUUCCAUUUUUCUGAUUUUUCCCAUAGUUUAGACGUGGAUUUUCUUUAUGCCAGCCCCAGUGUAAGGUUUUCUCACCUCCAGCAUCUCAGAUGCAAAUGCCUCUUCUCCCUCCACCUUCCACCCUAAGCCUCUCUCCCUGACCCGAGACCACUUUUCCAGUUUGACUUGAAACUCCAGAUGUGGCUUGGACAUAGGCUGUUUAAGUGGUAUAAGCUGCCUGCUUUUCAGAAUUUGCUAAUGGUUGAACUUAAUUGAUUGGCAAAUUUAAUUUGAAUUAGAAAUAUACUCUGCCCUGGGCCAGGCACCGUGGCUCAUGCCUGUAAUCCCAGCACUUCGGGAGGCUCAGGUGGGUGGAUCACGGGGUCAGGAGUUCAAGACCAACCUGACCAACAUGUCGAAACCCUGUCUCUACUAAAAAUACAAAAAUUAUCACAGCAUGGUGGCACGCGCCUGUAGUCCCAGCUAUUCUGGAGGCUGAGGCAGGAGAAUCGCUUGAACCUGGGAGGCGGAGGUUGCGGUGAGCCGAGAUUGUACCGCUGCACUCCAGCCUGGGCUACAGCACAAGACUCCAUCUCAAAAAAAGAAAAGAAAAGAAAUAUAGUCUGCCCUGGUCACUUGGUCAACACAGCCAUUUCAUCAACUUUUCAAUGAGGACAGUGCACAUUAUAAAUGGCGGAAGAUAACUCCGGGCUGGUGCCCCCGAUGCUUCGUUCUGCAUCAUUAUUUCCUUUUUGCUACAUGCUCUCUCUGCAGGAGGCUGUGGGACAGGAGAGAGCCAUGUGCCUUCGGAACCCUUAGAUACAGGUCAAUAGUAAAGCAGGGCGAGGACCUGGGAGAAAACUGUGGGGCUGAAGAGCCCUGGAAGAAGGCUUUAGCGGCUUUGGUGCUAAAAUAUUCUCUUUUAAAGUCUUUUAAAGAGCAGGGGAAAAUUGUCUCUGUGAACUGACCCAAGCUGGUUUGCAUUUGUGUGAGCGUCAGGUCCUGAAGGAAACUGGUCCUCAUCAUAAAUCUGGUUCAAUUUUCUUUAACUUUCACUGUGUGCAUCCUUCCUCCUUUCUGAGCAAGGGGUUUCUUAGUCCAUAAUCACCACAUUAAGAUAGAAACACAGUGGCAAAGUGGAAACUUCAGUCUCUGUGGAAAUGGGCAUUUUAAAAAGAAGUGGUAGAAAUGGGAAGCCUUGUCACCUGGGAGCGUUCCUGAGGUUGGUUGAAGGGGUUUACCUGUGGGAGGGUGUGAUGGGAGGGAGGGCAGGGCCACUGACCCCCUCCUCCCUGCUGACCCCCGGAGCCCCGGAACCCCGGAGCCCUUCUGUCCUAGCCAUUUGGCAGCACCCACAGAGGGACACACAUGCAGCUGACAUACAUUUAACGGUCCUAAUGGGUUUGAGCAGAAGUCAGGGUAUUAUGAAAGGAAGUUCAUGUAUUAGUGUACCUUGUCUUUGAGUCAGAACUCUGGAAAAUAUGGAUUUGUAGAGCAGAUGGAGAUCAGGUAGUUAUUGGCUGUAGUAAACACAGAUCAUUGUUUAUAGUAAACAUGCUUUGUCCAUCAGAGAUAGACUGGAUAAUGAAAAUGUGGCACAUAUACACCAUGAACUACUAUACAGCCAUAAAAAGGAGUGAGAUCCUGCCCUUUGCAGGGAUGUAGACGGAGCUGGAAGCUGUUAUCCUCAGCAAACUAAUGCAGGAACAGAAAACCAAAUUUAAGAACCACAUGUUCUCACUUAAAAAUGAGAGCUGAACGAUAAGAACACACGGACACAUGGAGGUGGGAACAACACACAUUGGGGCCUGUGGGGGCCGGGGGGAAGGAGAGGAUCAGGAAGAAUAGCUAAUGGAUGCUGGGCUUAAUACCUAGGCGAUAGGAUGGUCUGUGCAGAAAACCACCAUGCCACACAUUUACCCAUGUAACAAACCUGCACAUCCUGCACGCGAACCCCAGAACUUAAAAUAAAAGCUGAAGGAAAAAUUAAAAAGACAUGUUUUGUCCUAGUGUGCGCUGUAAUCUCAGCUACUCUGGAGGCUGAGGAGGGAGGGCUAUUUGAGCCCAGGAGGUCCAGUCCAGCCUCAGCAACAUAGCAGGACCCCAAUCUCUCUCUCUCUCUCUCUCUCUCUCUCUCUCUCUCUGUCUCUCUCUCAAAGAAGAAGAAGGAAGAGGAGGAGGAGGAGGAGGAGGAGGAGGAAGAGAAGGAGUUGAAGUUUUGAAACCGGACUUGAACUCCACAGAAGGAUUUUUGAGUCCAAUUCACUGAAUGGGCUUCAGAAUCAUAAAGAAACAUUGACUUUUGAUAUCCACCCAUUACUAUUUUACCAGAUAUAGAAUUAAUGAUGAAACAUCUGCCAAGCAACUAUUUUAAUCCUGUUAAGUUGGUAGAAAGAUGAAAAAAAAAAUCUACUAGAAACCAAAUCUGGUUUUUCACAGCAAUGAAAAUCAGUGUUUUACAUAAAGGCACAGUGAGUCCUGCCCCCCGGAUAAAGCCAAAUUCAGCCCAGAAAGGUUAUCUCAGGCGGGCACUUAUGGUGCUUUUCUCUAAAUUUUCACUUCAAUUAAUCUCUAGAAAUUUGGUGUCUGAUCCCCGUGACAGAAGCCUCUGGCUUCUUCAGAGUGACUGCCGAGGAAAAAUUAUCUGACACAUAUCAAACACGCAAGAAACCACACUGGACAGCAUUAAUCAAAACUUUCUCAUUUCCCGAAGAAUUAAGCAUUAAAUAAUUAAUCCCAGCACUACAGGCAGCUGUAAAAGAGGCCUCAUGCCUCCCUGCUGGUAGGAAUUUGUCCUUGUCUAAAAGACUAGAUUGAUAUAUUUAUUAUUUAUCAGAUUAAUCAUGGCCAGGAACAUUAUAGAUUGGCAGCCCAGCCCAGCCGGGGAUGGCGUCUGGCCCUUAUCAGAGCAGAGAGGCUCCCACUGACACCGCAUGCAGAGGGUGGAGGGAGCAGCUGCCCUCCAGCCUUUCCUGCGAAGGAAAAGGUGUUUAAAACAUUAUCUUAAAAAGAGAGCGAGAGAAAAAAGGAAAGUCAAAGAAGAGAGCUGAUGAGGAAGAUACCAUUGACCUGGGGCCAGAGGAAAGGCCCAGGGGUCGUGGGAGAGCCGUGGGCCGUGGGCCGUGGGCCGGAAUUUCAAGGGACGCUAUGAAGCCAAGAUCAUGAGCUGUGAGUCCGAGCUCCAGCGGCUCCAUGUGUAUGUCAAUCAACGCUGCCUUCUUGACUUGGAACCCUUCACAUCCCCUAACCUCGCCCUUCAGUGGCCCCGACCACCACUCCCUGCAGGCAGCUGCUGUCUCAUUUUUGGCUGAUCUUUUUUUGCAAGGCUGGGUUGCCACACAGCUGUCCUGGCUGUCCUGGGGGCUGAGCGCAUCUGACUGAAGACAGGAGAGAGCAGACGUCAGGGAAGAGCCCUUCUCCAUGCCUGUGAAUUGUGGUGGCUCUCAUUUCAUUGUUGAGAUACUUAUUUCAUCAGAACAAGGGUUUUCUAAUCAAGCAAAUCCAAAUGUCCAGGAUUUCUACUCAGAUUUGAACAGCAAGAACAGUUCAUGGAGGUAGAGAAUAGCACCCAAGCAGAGAAGGGCGUGAAACCUUUCAAUCUCAUGAUUGAUUCACAGACAUUUUAAGGAAAAAGGGGUUCGCUUGGGUAAAUAAAUUCGGGAAACUCUGGGUAAAUUGGCUUAAAUGGGCUGCCUUUCUGCAGGACUGCUCAGAGCCUUCUUAAGGCUGGAUGGUUUUGUGGGACCCUCGACGGCUUUACGUAAGCAAUGCUUCCCCACUGGGGCCCAAGAACACACGUUCAGACCCCGGCCUGGAGACUUCAAUCCCUCAAACAUGGCAGCCUCUCCAGCCUCCCCCUCCAACCCCAGCCACCUUCUGGCACAGGGUCUGAGUGAGGCAGGUCAGAGACUGGGAAGAGGCCAGGACGGUCUGACCACACCCUCUGUCCACUUAAGGAUGCUGUCAUUCUGGAAAGGCAGUUGAUUCACUUGUUAGUAGCGAGGAGGCCAGUCUGGAGGGGUCGAAGGACACACACUUUGGUUGACAGAAGGCGGCUCUCCCAGCCCUUCACACAGUCCCUGGGGCAACUCCACGAGUCCGAGAUGGAAAACUCUCCAUUUUACUUUCCUUAGUAAAACUUACCAAGGAAUGUUAUUGAUACGUAUAAAUAGAUUUAUGUACUAAAUAACUAUACAUGUUUAUUGAAAAUGAUUAUGUGAAUAAUUCAUGCAGAAUAAACUUUAUUUUCUUAGAAUAAAAUCGACUGACCUUGAAUUACUCAAAUAGUGGCUUCAGGUUUGCUGUGUGAAUGUGGAUCUCACCCCCAGCCUCUUCCAGGACUCCCUCCCUUGACCACCUCCCUCCCCUGACCACUCCCCUCCCCUGACCAGCUCUCCUCCCCUCACCACCUCCCUCCCCUCACCACCUCCCUCCCCUCACCACUCCCCUGCCCUGACCACCUCCGUCUCCUGACCACCUCCCUCCCCUCACCACCUUCCUCCUCUCACCACCUUCCUCCUCUCACCACCUCCCUCCCCUCACCACCUCCCUCCCCUCACCACUCUCCUGCAGGCACAGGUCUGCCCACCAUGAGUCCGUGAUAGCAGCCACAAGCCAGUUACAGCGUUGGACCCAUGCCCCCCUUCUGUUCUGCUAACGGUCAACACUGGGCCAACCGUGGAAGACUCCAAGCCGCCCAUUCCUGGGGUCAGAAGCAUGCAGGUCGUCCUUUUGCAAACACAAAAGCUGAAACACAGAUGCCUUCUCAGGGAAGAAUUCCUGCGUUUAGGAAGGGAAAUUGUUCCCUGCAGCUGCACCUAGCAGGCUUAGGCUUCCAGGGUUCUCUCUGGGUUUAAUAAGCAUCACCAUUUUCCUAAGGUGCUGUUUGGUUGCCAAAUUCAGAUAAAAUGUUUUGUUUUACAGAUAGAAAAUCCAAGAUGCUAACAGGUUUAAGUGAUGUUUUCAUCGCCACACCUUUUCCAUACAUAAUUUAACUACAAUUUCACCCUUUCUUUCAGUAAUAACUUAAUUGGUACGAUAUAAAUGACAUCAGAUUAAAAAAUAUAUUAAGAGUCCACUCAUUUCUCUCAGGAAUGCGAUAAAUGAUCAUCAGUGGAUUUAGAGAGGGUUUGUGCGGAGUAUGAAUAAUUUAAUUUCCAUUGCUCGACAAAUUUGCAAAUGUUUUUAAGCCAUCUAAUUUUUUUCCUUUUAGUUUGACUAACUAGAAGUUGUUUUCAUUAUUUCCAAUAUCACAUAUGUAUUCUGCUCACAGGUGUGAGCGGCCCUGCAUGUAGAUCUGCCUCCCGCCGAUCCUCCGGACUGCACACAGGUGGUGCAGGCAGGUGAGCAGCUGUGAGCUGUGCUGCAGGGGUCAGUGCUGCCUGCGACCGCAGGGCACCCCAGGUGACGACAGCCAGCCCUGACCCUGGGAAGAGCGGCCAGGAGGAACAGGUAUUUCUCAAACAAGAAUGGAUAGAGGAAGCUGCACCAGGUAGGAGGAGCCUCCUGAGCAGAAACAGAGAGGCCUGGAGGAGCUGCCUGCGGGCUGGGGUGGCCGCACAGAAAAGCAGAGGAGGACCUGGAGGCUGCAGCACUAGAGCCCUUUACAAACCUGACUUGGCUGCAGUGAGAUGUGUGAAGGCAGAAUCUGACAGUCCGAAAUGAUGAACAUGAUGGACAGUAACUAUGCAGUGUAGUAACAAACUCUAAAUCUAUUGAAAAAUUAAGGGGAAUUCCCAUGUUUUUGUAUGGAAUUGGGUUUUGAAUGAACCCAUUGAAGACACUGAAAUUCUUAAAAUAAAUGAACAAGCAUAGAACAGGCUGGGGUGGGCAUGGGAAGUGCUGUGUCCCCUGCCUGGAGACAUACGGGCUGUCCCUGAGCCCCACCCUGCCUCUGCCUGCCCUCACCUGCUGUCCUUCCUCCAGGAACGCCCUGUGUCUCUUCUUUACCAAGAUUCUGCUUACAUCCCAGGCUCAAGAUGGGGCAGUGUCCGACAGGGAGAGCUGACUGUGUCUCCCACUCUUUCCAUCCCAUGAAGACACAGGAAGAAGGCAGCCCUCAGAGCCAGGGGGCCUCCCCAGAGCCCACCACUGUGCCCACACCCUGAUCCUGGACGUCCAGCAUUGGAACUGUGGGAAUAAAUGUCUGCUAUUGGAGCCCCCGGCCUGUCAUGAAGCCCAGCCUAAGGCAAUGCUUACUAAAGAAGCUUCCCGUUUUACCCUCUGCACGCCUCUACUCCCGCGCCUGUGCGGUGGAAAUGCACUGAGGACGGCCGCCAUGCUCCUCCUCGCCCGACGCUCCCGGAAGUCCCCCUGGCAGCCUGAGGUCAGCAUCCCCGCGGGAAUAUUUACACCAUGGAGGCUGGCAAAUGCUGCCCAGCAGGACUUGUUUCCUUGUUUGGUUUUGUUGACUGUCUAAACUUACAGAAGUAAUGGAGGACAAAAUGUAAAAUAUGAAAUCAAAUGUAAAGGUGGCUCAUGUCUUUAGUCAUGUUAUUGUAAUGAGCACAAUGAACUGAGAAAAAAGUCUCCCUGUGUUGGAAAAAAUUCUCCCCUGUAUUGGAAAACUAUUAUGCAGUUCAGCAAAGAAGCCCUCACAUCACGGACAAAUGAGUCAAAUUCCGACUGUGUUCUUCUCGUCAAACUUUUGUGUCACUAACAUAAAUCAAAAUAUCAACCAACCUUCAUCUCAUUCAUAUUGAAAGUGAUUGUCAAUUGCAGCCAGAGGUUGGCUACAGAGUCAGGAGUUCAGCAAAUUCAAUAAAACAUUCUGAGGAUCAAUUGCUUGUGUGACAUUUACAAUAAAGAGUAUUGUAUAUUGUAUUAUUAUUUGUUGAUUAUGUGCCAAACAUCCCUUAUAUCAGUAGAACUUAUUUUUUAAAAAUAUGUAAGCAUAUGUGUGCAUAUAAUUUUUUCAGAGCGCUAGAUAUUUACCAGCACUCCUCUGCAUAAAAUACUAAUGAAUCAGACUUCACAAUUCAUUAAAAGUCAAAUCUACCAAUAUCAAAAUUGAUUUAUCAAAAAAGUAGGGUGGCUUACCUUAACAAUAUAUCUAUUAAUAUAGUAUAUGGCAUUAAUAGUUUAUUAGAAAGCCGUGUAGCCAGAUAAAUAGAUGUUACAAAGGCAAGCCCAUUAAUGUCUUCAUAUGUAAGAAUUAUGUAUCAUAAUUAUAAUAUAUAUUCAACUAGCAUAUAUCAUGAAUCUACAUAUUCAUAGCAUAUAUCAUGAAUUUAGCAUAUUCAAAAAUCUACUAAAGAGUAUAUACUUAACCUGGUAGGGAAUAUUUGCCCCAGCCCACCAAUCAACAUCAUCUAACAGCAGAACACCCGAGGUAUCCUUACUAAAAUCCAGGGACUCAAGGCACUUUCCAACAUUCCGCUCCGGCACAGCUGCGUUAAGGGGUAGGACUCCCCUAGAUUGGAGUUCAGCUUCUACCUUUGCUUCCGCCUGCCCUGUGGUUGGGGCAAGCUUUGGUUUGCUUGUUUUAGGAGUCUCUGAGGAUUAAAUCAGAUGACGUAUGUGAAGUAUUCCUUGCGGCCUCUUCUGUACUGUGAGAGCUAAAUACAUUAUGGACAGUGCAAUUCUGUGAGCCAGAAAUAAUUGGCAAAGUGACUGGGA
rnacentral:lncRNA from 1 species